rnacentral:lncRNA from 1 species
AAAUACCAGAAUGUAGUGUAAUCAGAAUUAUGAAUGAAGAUAUAGUAUUUCCUUCUUCCCCAAUUCUCUUCUUCUAUUCCCUACUCUCUCCCCCUCCUCACUCUACCCUCUAUUCUCCACUCACUUCCCAGAUUCCACUCUGUUCUUUUCCCCUCCUACGUACAUCUUUUCCCUCUUCUCUCUAAUCCCUCCACAAACCGUUCCACUCCAUUCUCUCCCGGCGCCCAUCAUCCCCCUCGUCAACCUCACCUCAGCGAGGACUCAUCAUCGGCAGGCGGCGAGUUGUCCGGGGCCUUACAACUUGGUAUCAGAGCCUUCCGAUCCCGAGGCUACUGUGGCGGCAGCGAGAGUGCAGCAAUUAUAGUUGUGGCAAUCAAUCGAACAUCAUCAGGGCUACAGGUAUGAACCGCCAAUGAACUCGUAAUAGCAAAUCGAUAGGCGACCGAAGUGUGUCGGAUCCCGGGAAGGGUGGUAUCAAUUGUUCCAUCAGUUAGAACAUUGUUCCAGCCUCAGUUUUCACAUCACGGGCAUCCGAGCAAGUUACUGUAGCAAUACAGGCAAUAGGGAGCAAUAGGGAGAAAGAGCCAAAACCGAUUCAAUUUCACAACCACAGUUAGAAAGAUGGUCGAAGGCACCCGGAUGAAGGAUCUAAGCGACCAUAUUAGCUCUCUUGAAGAUAGGCUGCAGCACCUGACUGCCGAUCAUGAGUCGAAGAUCACUGGGUUAGCUCAACAGCUGGCCGAGUCACGAGACGAGGGGCAAAGGAGGCAUGAGGAGUUGCUGAGAAUGUUAUCGGCUCUGCCAUCUCAACUCAAGGCCACCCAGAGCCCCACGGCGAGCAACCCUACAGGGAGGAGUCAGGAAAAUGUCAGAAUGGGGGGAAGCAGCACUCCCAUUUACACCCGAGAUAACAAGGGUAAGGGAAUUUUACCGACACCAUUACCCAUACAUGAGAUCGAGGACGACGAUGUCCCACCUUGGCAGGCAAGAACUCAAGGAUCUCCACAACAGUAUCUGCCCUACCCCAAAUUGGAGUUUCCUCAAUUUAACGGCGAAGAUCCCAAGGCUUGGUUGGAGAAUUGCGAGCAAUAUUUCGACCUUUAUCAGAUUCCCCGGCUUCAAUGGCUCGGGGUAGCUACCAUGCACAUUAUCGGGAAGGCGCGCAGUUGGAAGCAAGGUUACUUUAUUAACCGACCUGGCGUUAGUUGGGAGGAGUUCUCAGAAGCUAUCUGUAAGCGGUUUGCCGAUGUGGGGGAGCGUUAUUUGAUUCGUGAAUUCGGAAACCAUAAACAAACCGGAUCCAUAGAAAAAUACCAAGAAGGAUUUGAGGAGUUGCGAUCACAGAUGCUACAUUACAACCCCCAACUGAGCGAGGAGUUCUUCAUAGCAAGCUACAUUAAUGGGCUAAAGGAGGAGCUAGUACCCUUUAUGGAUAUAUCGCAUCCGGCGACCCUGGAAGAUGCUUUUGGGCAUGCUAAAUUACAUGAUCGUGCCCUAACUGUAAUGCAGAGAAAGAGCAGGAUUGCUAGUAAGCCACCAGGAGGGAACUAUACAUCAUUUAGUGGAGCAAGGGCUACUGCAGGGGUCGCCCCAUACGGACCUAAGGAGCCUAACAAGUUUCCGACUCCAGGAGCCGCCGGGGACUCAAAUCAUCAGCAACAAGAACGCAGGAAGUUGAUCGAGCAACGCAGAGCGGCAGGGCAAUGUUUCAAGUGCGGCGAAAAAUACCACCCGGGGCAUCAGUGCAAGAACAAAUCUCUAUUCAACAUGACAGCCGAGGACCAGGUCUUGGAGGUGUAUGACGAAGAGUGCAUGUUGGAAGAAGACGAGGAUGUUGUGCAGGAAGCCAAGGAGUUGCCACCAGAAGGGGCGGAAGAAGUUGGUAUAUCCUUCAAUGCCCUCAGUGGGGAGAACCAACAGCAAACCCUCCAAAUCCAAGGAGAGGUGGGAGACAAAGUUCUAAAGGUAUUAGUAGACACGGGGAGCACGCAUAGCUUCGUGGAUUUUAGGGUGGCCAGGGAAGUCAAGGCGACAGUUGAAACGGCGGCGCCUUUAACGGUCACCGUUGCUAACGGCCAUAAGAUAAUGAGCAAACUAAAGUGCCCGGGGUUCACUUGGAAAAUGAGUGGACAAUCCUAUAAGGCUGACUUGCGAGUAAUACGACUUGAAGGCUCCAGUCUAGUGUUGGGCAUAGACUGGUUGCGAGCUUAUGGAAGGGUCACGUUCGACUAUACCAACAAUACCGUGUCACUCAACAAGGAUGGACAGCAACUGGUGCUUAAGGGUCUGGCGGAGGGCGCUAAGUUGAGGAUGCUUACUGCCAAGGAGUGGCGCAGGGACUGCCAAGUGGGAACCUGCUAUGCCAUAGCGAGCAUAAUGCAAAUCAGUGAAAGGGAGGAGCCGAUAAUACCUAAGGAGAUCCAAGCGGUACUCCAGCGAUACGACGACGUGUUCCGAGAGCCCAAGGAAUUACCCCCUAGGAGGAGGCAGGACCACAAAAUACCGUUACAAGGAAACACCCAGCCUGUCAACAUUCGACCAUAUCGGUACUCUUACGAGCAAAAGAACGAGAUAGAAAGGCAAAUCAAGGAAAUGCUCGAAUCAGCAAUUAUUCAACCAAGCACAAGUCCAUAUGCGUCGCCGGUCCUGCUAGUCAAGAAGAAGGAUAAUUCAUGGAGGUUUUGUGUGGACUACCGACAAUUAAACGAAUCCACCGUGAAGGAUAAGUACCCUAUACCUCUAAUUGACGACUUGUUGGAUGAGCUAGGGGGAGCGUCCUAUUUUUCCAAGGUCGACUUAAGAGCGGGGUAUCAUCAGAUUAGGAUGCACCCGGGGGAUGUCUACAAAACCGCUUUUCGCACGCACUCGGGACACUAUGAAUUUUUGGUAAUGCCCUUUGGGCUGACCAACGCGCCGGCAACGUUCCAGUCGGUGAUGAACGAUGUCUUCUCGGCGUAUCUAAGGAAGUAUGUGUUGGUUUUCUUUGACGACAUCCUGAUCUAUAGCAAGAAUAUCGAGGAUCAUAAGGAGCAUUUGAGCGUGGUGAUGGAGACCUUACGCCGGCACCAACUAUAUGCUAAAAGAUCAAAAUGUUACUUCGGCCAGCAGAAGGUGGAGUAUUUGGGGUAUAUUAUCACCCCCGAAGGAGUGGCCACUGAUCCGGCAAAGAUAGAAGCGAUGGUUAACUGGCCGACGCCGACUUCCCUAAAAGGUUUGCGAGGAUUUUUAGGCAUCACAGGAUACUACAGGAGGUUCAUCAAGGACUAUGGGAAAAUCAGUAAGCCAUUGACGGAAUUGCUGAGGAAGGAUCAGUUCAAGUGGGGGCCGGAACCGCAGGACGCCUUCGAUAAGUUGAAAAAGAUCAUGACUCAAGCCCCGGUGUUGGCAAUGCCCGAUUAUACGAAGCCAUUCAUCAUAGAGGUGGAUGCGUGCGGACAGGGGUUGGGUGCGGUGCUAUCCCAGGGAGAACGACCGAUCGCCUACAUCAGCAAGGCCCUCAGCACUCGGAAUAUGGGUCGAUCGACUUACGAGAAGGAGUUCAUGGCAAUACUCCUAGCGGUGAAUAAAUGGAGGCAUUACCUUAGCCCGCGACAAUUCAUAAUCAGGACGGACCACCAAAGCCUUAAGUACCUAUUGGAGCAGAAGGUUACCACAGCCGUCCAACAGAAAGGGAUGGUGAAACUCAUGGGUUUCGAUUAUGUGAUACAGUAUAAAGCAGGCAAGGAGAAUAGGGCGGCAGACUCGCUAUCUAGAAGAGGUUUUGAAGAAGGUUCCACAGCGGCCAUGACCGCGGCCGUACCUAGCUGGAUAACCGAAGUGACUGAAAGCUACGAAGGGGAUGAGAAGUGCAAGCAGAUCAUUGCGGAAUUGUUAUUGCAGCCCAAGCAACAUCCAAAAUACACUUACUCCCAGGGAUUACUGCGGUACAAAGGGAGGAUUUAUGUGGGGGAGCGAGGGGACCUCAAAGAAAAGAUACUAAGUCAGCUGCACUCAUCCGCACUAGGAGGUCACUCGGGGGCAAGGCACACAUACAAGCGGUUGAAGCAAUACUUCCACUGGCCGGGCCUAAAGCAGGAUGUGGAGAGUUAUACCAAGAAUUGCAGCAUCUGCUUACGAAACAAGAUAGACAACCAACCUUACGCGGGCCUACUCCAACCUUUACCAGUGCCCACUAGAGCUUGGCAAGAAAUUACGAUGGAUUUUAUCGAGGCUCUACCGAAAUCCGAAGGAAGGGAUACUAUACUGGUGGUGAUAGACCGACUCACUAAGUAUGCACAUUUCAUUUCCCUGACUCACCCUUUUACUGCCUCCAGUGUCGCGAGGGCCUUCCUCGACACAGUCUACAAGCUGCAUGGGUUGCCCAGGACGAUACUGACGGACCGCGACAAAAUAUUUACAAGUCAGGUAUGGCAAGAGCUGUUUAAGCUAUUGGGAGUUAAAUUGCUGAUGAGCACGGCCUACCACCCACAGACGGACGGGCAGUCCGAGAGGUUGAACAGGUGCCUCGAGACGUAUCUCCGAUGCAUGUGCUCUCACCGACCACAUAAAUGGCACAAUUGGUUGAGUUUGGCCGAGUGGUGGUACAAUACUAAUUACCACAGCUCACUAGGCACCACACCCUAUCAAGCCCUAUACGGACAUCCGCCCCCAAAUGGGUUGGUCGUAAAUCUAGGGGUGGAGGCCUCGCCGACAGUGCAGGAGUGGGGAAGGGAGCAGGAAGAAAUGACAAGAGUGCUCAGGGAAAGGUUGUUACAGGCUCAACACCGCAUGAAGCAGAACGCCGACAAAAAGCGAGUGGACAAGGAGUACCAAGUAGGGGAGAUGGUAUACCUGAAGCUGCAACCUUACCGUCAGGUGAGCGUCGCAGUGAGGAGGAACCUGAAGCUUUCGGCGAGGUACUACGGGCCAUUCCAGAUCACGGAGCGGAUUGGGCCGGUAGCUUACCGGUUGCGGUUGCCGGAAGGAUCCAGGGUUCACCCUGUGUUCCAUGUCUCAUUAUUGAAGAGAAGCCCCCCGACGAACUCCGCGGUGAUACCGACGGCGCCUCUAGUCGGAGAGGAAGGCCAACUGUUAGCACGCCCUGAGAGAAUACUGGACCGACGCAUGGUGAAGCGAGGCGGCCGAGCUUUGAGCCAGGUGUUGAUCAAGUGGGAGAAUCUGGACGACGACUCAGCCACCUGGGAAGAUUACUGGUUCUUAAGGUCCCAGUUUCCGGACUUUGAUCCUUGAGGCCAAGGAUCAUCUGAAGAAGAGGGGAGAUGUAAGGCCUGUGAAUAAACGGAAGUAGUAGUAAGCAAGGAAGCUAGGAGUAGUAAAAAUGUUACCUUUAUAUAGUAGAAAGGAAAUAAAUGGAGGCAGCAGACUGAGGGAGGCGCGAGCUUGGCGGACAUGGCCGGCGCGAAGGUGCUCGGGGGGGAAAUGCGCCGGUAGAUCAACGGGUUAGGGCAUCCGUGGUGUGCGGGGGAAGAGAAGGCUGGAGCGAGGAGCGGCGAGAGGAGAUUCUGCAGGAUCUGGGAAGCGGCGAAGAGGUAAUACUUCGAUAGCGGGUAGCGGGCGGUCGGCUUACCGGGUCGGGCGAAAAUCGCGAACCCAAGACCCGUAGGGUUACGGAUCGUGCGGAGAAGGACGGGCCCGAGUCCGUUUGCCCGAUUAUCAGUAGAAGAGAGCAGGGAAGCCCAACAAGAGGCCCAGCGACUUCCGGAUUACCAGCCCCACCGGCCCACUUCCUAUUUUGUUAGUUUUGCUGUUUAAUCCUUAUAACUAGAGGAGUUUUCAUUUUAGCUCAAUUACAUGGAACUAUAAAUACCAGAAUGUAGUGUAAUCAGAAUUAUGAAUGAAGAUAUAGUAUUUCCUUCUUCCCCAAUUCUCUUCUUCUAUUCCCUACUCUCUCCCCCUCCUCACUCUACCCUCUAUUCUCCACUCACUUCCCAGAUUCCACUCUGUUCUUUUCCCCUCCUACGUACAUCUUUUCCCUCUUCUCUCUAAUCCCUCCACAAACCGUUCCACUCCAUUCUCUCCCGGCGCCCAUCAUCCCCCUCGUCAACCUCACCUCAGCGAGGACUCAUCAUCGGCAGGCGGCGAGUU